CAGGCCUAACACAUGCAAGUCGAACGAAGGCUUCGGCCUUAGUGGCGCACGGGUGCGUAACGCGUGGGAAUCUGCCCUGGGGUACGGAAUAACUCAGAGAAAUUUGAGCUAAUACCGUAUGAUGACGUAAGUCCAAAGAUUUAUCGCCCUGGGAUGAGCCCGCGUAGGAUUAGCUAGUUGGUGGGGUAAAGGCCUACCAAGGCGACGAUCCUUAGCUGGUCUGAGAGGAUGAUCAGCCACACUGGGACUGAGACACGGCCCAGACUCCUACGGGAGGCAGCAGUGGGGAAUAUUGGACAAUGGGCGAAAGCCUGAUCCAGCAAUGCCGCGUGAGUGAUGAAGGCCUUAGGGUUGUAAAGCUCUUUUACCCGGGAAGAUAAUGACUGUACCGGGAGAAUAAGCCCCGGCUAACUCCGUGCCAGCAGCCGCGGUAAU
rnacentral:rRNA from 1 species